GGGCGGUUAGCUCAGUGGCAGAGCGCUUCGUUUACACCGAAGAUGUCGGGAGUUCGACCCUCUCACCGCCCACCA
rnacentral:tRNA from 1 species